UACGUAGGGUGCGAGCGUUGUCCGGAAUUAUUGGGCGUAAAGAGCUCGUAGGCGGUGUGUCACGUCGUUCGUGAAAACCUGCAGCUUAACUGUGGGCGUGCGGUCGAUACGGGCAUCACUGGAGUUCGGCAGGGGAGACUGGAAUUCCCCGGUGUAGCGGUGAAAUGCGCAGAUAUCGGGAGGAACACCGGUGGCGAAGGCGGUUCUCUGGGCCUUACCUGACGCUGAGGAGCGAAAGCGUGGGGAGCGAACAGG
rnacentral:rRNA from 1 species